GACGAACGCUGGCGGCGUGCUUAACACAUGCAAGUCGAACGGAAAGGCCCCCUUGUGGGGUACUCGAGUGGCGAACGGGUGAGUAACACGUGAGUAACCUACCCUUGACUUUGGGAUAACUUCAGGAAACUGGGGCUAAUACCGGAUAGGAGCUCCUGCUGCAUGGUGGGGGUUGGAAAGUUUCGGCGGUUGGGGAUGGACUCGCGGCUUAUCAGCUUGUUGGUGGGGUAGUGGCUCACCAAGGCUUUGACGGGUAGCCGGCCUGAGAGGGUGACCGGCCACAUUGGGACUGAGAUACGGCCCAGACUCCUACGGGAGGCAGCAGUGGGGAAUAUUGCACAAUGGGCGGAAGCCUGAUGCAGCAACGCCGCGUCCGGGAUGACGGCCUUCGGGUUGUAAACCGCUUUCGCCUGUGACGAAGCGUGAGUGACGGUAAUGGGUAAAGAAGCACCGGCUAACUACGUG
rnacentral:rRNA from 1 species